ACCGAGUGGAGUGGAGACUGGUUUUACGACUGGAGUCCCGACUGCAGCGGUCAGAGUCUGCUUUUAAAAGAUGUUUCUCAUCAGAAAUCAUCUGAAGCUGAGCAACUGGAACAUCCUCUCUUUGGGCCUCAUCCAGUAUGGUGGCAGUCCAUAUCAUUUUCAACACUCAACUGUGCUCUUACCCAAGUGGCCUCAUCCUGAUGCUUCUUUCAUUACACUGAACAUCAUUGUCUGAACAUCAGCUAUGCGUGUGAGCUGGGUGCCACGCUGGAGUUCAUGCAUAGCGAGCUUGGCAUGCCCUCACACAACGCAACGCAUCUACCGGAGCCCGUGUAUUGGCGGAACCGCUCUGGUGCUUGAUCAGUCAGAGCCAAGUGAGCGAGCUAACUAAUCUGAGCAUACUGGGCUCAUCAGGAAGGAGGGGCUUAAAGACACUGGAGCUCUAACAGAGCGUUUCAGACAGAGGGUGAGUAGACAAUUACAGUAUGAGAAAAAUAAUGUGUUUCUGGAACACUGAAGCAUGUAAAUGUAUUAUAGUCGACCCCAAAAAUAAAUUUAUGAACAUUGGAAAUUAGCAUAACAGGUCCCCUUUAAAUUCAGCCUGCUUGUGUACGCAGAUCCAAAAGUAAUUUCAAAUUUAUUGUCUUAAAAUUGAUUUUUUAACAGAUGCAUUUUCCUCAUAUCUCUGACAAA